CAGCCGCCGCGGUAAUACGAAGGGGGCUAGCGUUGUUCGGGAUUACUGGGCGUAAAGGGCGCGUAGGCGGCCAUUCAAGUUAGAUGUGAAAGCCCUGGGCUCAACCUAGGAAUUGCAUUUGAUACUGUUUGGCUUGAGUUCGGGAGAGGUGAGUGGAAUUCCCAGUGUAGAGGUGAAAUUCGUAGAUAUUGGGAAGAACACCAGUGGCGAAGGCGGCUCACUGGACCGACACUGACGCUGAGGCGCGAAAGCGUGGGGAGCAAACAGGAUUAGAUACCCCCGUAGUCCCUGUCUCUUAUAC
rnacentral:rRNA from 1 species